rnacentral:lncRNA from 1 species
GAGAAACAUAUAAGUAAUGAAGAGGAGCACUUAAGGAGGAUGGAAGAAUCCAGGCUGCAGCUCAAGGAUCAGCUUCUUUGUCUGGAGACAGAACAGGAAUCCAUUCUUGGUGUAAUAGGAAAAGAAAUUGAUGAAGCUUGUAAAACUUUCUCCAGAGACUCAGCAGAGAAACUGAAAGUGUUUACCUCUGGUCCUCAAAUACAUUAUGACCCACAUCGAUGGUUAGCUGAAAGCAAGACCAAGUUGCAGUGGCUGUGUGAGGAACUGAAGGAGAGAGAGAGCAGAGAGAAGACCUUGCGGCGGCAGCUGGCGGCCAGUAGACAGGAGCUCAGGGAGCUGACGCAGCACAAGGAGUCUGAGCUCCUGUGUCUGUUUGAGCACAUUGAGAGGCAGGAACAGCUUCUGGAGGAGUUCCACCAGGAGAAGAGAGGUCUGCUAGAAGAGACUCAAAGGAAAGAUGAAGAAGUGGAAACUCUCCAGGACCGAGUAAAUGCAUUACAGAUGAGUACCCGAGUGGCCCUGGACCAUCUGGAGUCUGUGCCUGAGAAACUGAGCCUGCUAGAGGAUUUCAAAGACUUCAGAGGUUCCUCCAGUUUAUCUGUGAAAAGUGAUGGCAGAUACUCUAAAUACAGUCUCCACGGAGAUUCUGCUCAACAGCGCCGAGAUGACACCAAGUACAGAAUCAAGACCUUUAGGAACUCAAUGUGUCCUCUUUCUCAGGACGACAGACCCUUUUCUGCCGGUUCCCACGCUCAUGGCCUAGAUCACUCCUCCUCUUGGCAGGACCACAGUCGCUUCCUGUCUACUCCACAGUUUUCACACUUUAACUGCUUGCCAGCAUUUACCAAAAGAACCAUUGCCUCAGAUCCAGCUUCAAUCAAGGGAGAUGCCCCAGGUUUACCAGCGAAUGGAACAAGUCUACAGUCCAAGAGGGAGGAGUAUGAGAGCAAAAAAUCCAAAAUGUGAUUCACAACCUCACUUGAGUAUUUCCCAAGUAACAGCCCAUAGUCCUUGUUGCCACUGGGCUCAGAUUAUCUAAAGACAUCAUGUGGGUUCAGCUCCUUGGAA